UUAAGCGACUAAGCGUACACGGUGGAUGCCCUGGCAGUCAGAGGCGAUGAAGGACGUGCUAAUCUGCGAUAAGCGUCGGUGAGGUGAUAUGAACCGUUAUAACCGGCGAUUUCCGAAUGGGGAAACCCAGUGUGUUUCGACACACUAUCAUUAACUGAAUCCAUAGGUUAAUGAGGCGAACCGGGGGAACUGAAACAUCUAAGUACCCCGAGGAAAAGAAAUCAACCGAGAUUCCCCCAGUAGCGGCGAGCGAACGGGGAGGAGCCCAGAGCCUGAAUCAGUGUGUGUGUUAGUGGAAGCGUCUGGAAAGGCGUGCGAUACAGGGUGACAGCCCCGUACACAAAAAUGCACAUAUUGUGAGCUCGAUGAGUAGGGCGGGACACGUGGUAUCCUGUCUGAAUAUGGGGGGACCAUCCUCCAAGGCUAAAUACUCCUGACUGACCGAUAGUGAACCAGUACCGUGAGGGAAAGGCGAAAAGAACCCCGGCGAGGGGAGUGAAAAAGAACCUGAAACCGUGUACGUACAAGCAGUGGGAGCCUCUUAAUGGGGUGACUGCGUACCUUUUGUAUAAUGGGUCAGCGACUUAUAUUCUGUAGCAAGGUUAACCGAAUAGGGGAGCCGAAGGGAAACCGAGUCUUAACUGGGCGUUAAGUUGCAGGGUAUAGACCCGAAACCCGGUGAUCUAGCCAUGGGCAGGUUGAAGGUUGGGUAACACUAACUGGAGGACCGAACCGACUAAUGUUGAAAAAUUAGCGGAUGACUUGUGGCUGGGGGUGAAAGGCCAAUCAAACCGGGAGAUAGCUGGUUCUCCCCGAAAGCUAUUUAGGUAGCGCCUCGUGAAUUCAUCUCCGGGGGUAGAGCACUGUUUCGGCAAGGGGGUCAUCCCGACUUACCAACCCGAUGCAAACUGCGAAUACCGGAGAAUGUUAUCACGGGAGACACACGGCGGGUGCUAACGUCCGUCGUGAAGAGGGAAACAACCCAGACCGCCAGCUAAGGUCCCAAAGUCAUGGUUAAGUGGGAAACGAUGUGGGAAGGCCCAGACAGCCAGGAUGUUGGCUUAGAAGCAGCCAUCAUUUAAAGAAAGCGUAAUAGCUCACUGGUCGAGUCGGCCUGCGCGGAAGAUGUAACGGGGCUAAACCAUGCACCGAAGCUGCGGCAGCGACACUAUGUGUUGUUGGGUAGGGGAGCGUUCUGUAAGCCUGUGAAGGUGGCCUGUGAGGGUUGCUGGAGGUAUCAGAAGUGCGAAUGCUGACAUAAGUAACGAUAAAGCGGGUGAAAAGCCCGCUCGCCGGAAGACCAAGGGUUCCUGUCCAACGUUAAUCGGGGCAGGGUGAGUCGACCCCUAAGGCGAGGCCGAAAGGCGUAGUCGAUGGGAAACAGGUUAAUAUUCCUGUACUUGGUGUUACUGCGAAGGGGGGACGGAGAAGGCUAUGUUGGCCGGGCGACGGUUGUCCCGGUUUAAGCGUGUAGGCUGGUUUUCCAGGCAAAUCCGGAAAACCAAGGCUGAGGCGUGAUGACGAGGCACUACGGUGCUGAAGCGACAAAUGCCCUGCUUCCAGGAAAAGCCUCUAAGCAUCAGGUAACAUCAAAUCGUACCCCAAACCGACACAGGUGGUCAGGUAGAGAAUACCAAGGCGCUUGAGAGAACUCGGGUGAAGGAACUAGGCAAAAUGGUGCCGUAACUUCGGGAGAAGGCACGCUGAUAUGUAGGUGAAGCGACUUGCUCGUGGAGCUGAAAUCAGUCGAAGAUACCAGCUGGCUGCAACUGUUUAUUAAAAACACAGCACUGUGCAAACACGAAAGUGGACGUAUACGGUGUGACGCCUGCCCGGUGCCGGAAGGUUAAUUGAUGGGGUUAGCGGUAACGCGAAGCUCUUGAUCGAAGCCCCGGUAAACGGCGGCCGUAACUAUAACGGUCCUAAGGUAGCGAAAUUCCUUGUCGGGUAAGUUCCGACCUGCACGAAUGGCGUAAUGAUGGCCAGGCUGUCUCCACCCGAGACUCAGUGAAAUUGAACUCGCUGUGAAGAUGCAGUGUACCCGCGGCAAGACGGAAAGACCCCGUGAACCUUUACUAUAGCUUGACACUGAACAUUGAGCCUUGAUGUGUAGGAUAGGUGGGAGGCUUUGAAG
rnacentral:rRNA from 1 species